rnacentral:rRNA from 1 species
GGAGGGUGCAAGCGUUAAUCGGAAUAACUGGGCGUAAAGCGCACGCAGGCGGUUUGCUAAGCUAGAUGUGAAAGCCCCGGGCUCAACCUGGGAACUGCAUUUAGAACUGGCGAACUAGAGUCUUGUAGAGGGGGGUAGAAUUCCAGGUGUAGCGGUGAAAUGCGUAGAGAUCUGGAGGAAUACCGGUGGCGAAGGCGGCCCCCUGGACAGAGACUGACGCUCAGGUGCGAAAGCGUGGGGAGCAAAC